rnacentral:rRNA from 1 species
UACGUAGAGUCCGAGCGUUGUCCGGAAUUACUGGGCGUAAAGAGCUCGUAGGCGGUUUGUCGCGUUGUUCGUGAAAACUCACAGCUUAACUGUGGGCGUGCGGGCGAUACGGGCAGACUAGAGUACUGCAGGGGAGACUGGAAUUCCUGGUGUAGCGGUGGAAUGCGCAGAUAUCAGGAGGAACACCGGUGGCGAAGGCGGGUCUCUGGGCAGUAACUGACGCUGAGGAGCGAAAGCGUGGGGAGCGAACAGG